GUUCCUUUAGCUUAAACGGUAAAGCCCAUUACUUCUAAUAAUGUUAUUAUGGUUCAAUUCCAUAAAGGAAUU
rnacentral:tRNA from 1 species